rnacentral:siRNA from 1 species
GGAAUAGUGCAAAGCUGUUAGAAA